rnacentral:lncRNA from 1 species
GAAAUGUUGUGCAGAAAAAACAUAGAUAUGUGUGAUUUUCCAGAAAAUUGCAAUGGAACAUCUGCACUUUGUGUACUUGAUGUGAAAGCUCCUGAUUUAGGAUACUGCAAUAAUAAGACUAGCUAUUGCUUUAAAGGAGUAUGUAGAGAUAGGGAUAGACAGUGUGCACAGUUAUUUGGAAAAUUUUCUAGGUCUGCUAAUCUUCUGUGUACAGAAGAAGUGAAUUUUCUAAAUGACAAAUUUGGAAAAUGUGGUUCCUGUUGUCAUUUUUAUGAUAUCAUUUAUGGAAAGAUUGUCUGUCACUGGACACAUUCAGAACCAGUAUCAAUGACAGACUUUGAUAUACAAUAUACUUACUUUGGAGGUCACGUAUGUUUGUCGGCACAUGCAAGAAAUGGUUCAAAACAUGAGGGACAUAUACAGAACCUGUGACUACUUGUGGUCAGCACAAGGUAUGUAGAUUCCAAGGAUGCAGAUAUCUUAGUGUAAUAAAUAUAACAAGAUUUAACAAAUUGCAGAGAGAUUGUGGUUUGCAAUGAACAUUUCCAUUGUCAGUGUGAUCCUGGUUAU